UACAGAGGUGGCAAGCGUUGUUCGGAAUUACUGGGCGUAAAGGGCGCGUAGGCGGCCCGAUAAGUCCCGCGUGAAAGCCCCCGGCUCAACUGGGGAACUGCGUGGGAAACUAUCGGGCUUGAGUUCGGGAGAGGGAAGCGGAAUUCCGGGUGUAGCGGUGAAAUGCGUAGAUAUCCGGAGGAACACCGGUGGCGAAGGCGGCAUCCUGGACCGGCAUUGACGCUGAGGCGCGAAAGCCAGGGGAGCAAACGGG
rnacentral:rRNA from 1 species